rnacentral:tRNA from 1 species
GGCCCGCUAGCUCAACUGGUAGAGCAGCUGACUCUUAAUCAGCAGGUUCAGGGUUCGAGCCCCUGGCGGGUCACCA